rnacentral:lncRNA from 1 species
CAGCGCGCCGAAGGCCCAGCCACCGUGAUGGCCAUCGGCACUGCCACUCCCCCAAAUUGUGUGGAUCAAAGCACCUAUCCUGACUACUACUUUCGCAUCACAAAUAGCGAACACAAGACUGAGCUCAAAGAGAAGUUCAAGCGAAUGUGUAAGAUAUAUUAAUCUCUAUUUUAUUUCAUGUUAUUUAUUUAUUUUUGUGUCUUCUUCUUGGAUUUUAUUAUACAUACUCAUGUGACAUCUGACAAGUUGGUUAUUACCAUAUUUCCGUCUAACCACAUGAGUUCAAUUCUACCAGCCUAUGUGUAUACAAAGUAUAGUGAAUGGUUAUGAAACCAAAAUCUACGGAGGGAAAGUCAAUUUACUUGACAAAAUAUGCUAGAUUAGAUGCCCAUAUAAUAGAGCAAAAAGAUGAUUGUAUGAUGAAUUAAAUUACAGUCGCCAGAAUUGUUUGUCUAAGAUGCUGGUAUUUAUCUUCUUUUGACUGUCUUCAUGAAUUUUCCGGUCUGUCAUAUAUUUUCUUUUCUUUUAAGAUUUUAGAUUAGAUAAUUGUCAUACUGCCACUAACUACUAGGUUUAUUUUCCGUUUACUUACCAGAUUAUGUUAUUUCUUUAAGAAGUUUUCCUCACCUAGCAUGUAAAUUAAUGCUUCUGACUGGUUGGUGAGGUAAAAUAGGAGUUCUUCUUUUUCCUUUCACCCCUUGCUUAAAGUUUCCUAGAUCCAUCAAAAGAGAGAAUUCGUCACUUGUGAAGGCCAUUUUCGGCACCAAUAUUGUUUGUGGAAUAUUGAAAUGCUACAUGUAGAACACAAUCUAACAUGGAUAUUGUGAAAUACAUGGAAUCACAGGUGACAAGUCUAUGAUCAAGAAACGUUACAUGCACUUGACAGAGGAGAUCCUGAAAGAGAACCCCAAUGUUUGUGAAUACAUGGCAGCUUCCCUGGAUGCUAGGCAGGACAUGGUGGUGGUGGAGGUACCAAAGCUAGGCAAAGAGGCAGCCGCAAAGGCCAUCAAGGAGUGGGGUCAGCCCAAAUCCAAGAUCACUCACCUAGUCUUCUGCACCACCAGCGGUGUUGACAUGCCCGGUGCUGACUACCAACUCACCAAGCUGCUAGGCCUCCGCCCAUCGGUGAAGCGCUUCAUGAUGUACCAACAGGGCUGCUUUGCUGGUGGCACCGUUCUGCGCCUUGCCAAGGACCUUGCCGAGAACAACAAGGGCGCCCGUGUCCUUGUUGUCUGCUCUGAGAUCACUGCUGUUACUUUCAGGGGACCUAGUGACACUCACUUGGACAGCCUUGUUGGGCAGGCACUUUUUGGCGAUGGGGCGGCCGCUGUUAUAGUUGGUUCCGACCCGAUCCCAGGGGUGGAGAAGCCCAUGUUCGAAUUGGUUUCAGCAGCCCAGACAAUCCUCCCCGACAGCGAUGGCGCCAUCGAUGGGCAUCUCCGGGAAGUGGGGCUGACCUUCCACUUACUUAAGGAUGUGCCCGGCCUCAUUUCCAAGAACAUUGAAAAAAGCCUGAAUGAGGCCUUCCAGCCUUUGGGCAUCAAGGACUGGAACUCCAUUUUCUGGAUUGCACACCCUGGUGGGCCUGCAAUCUUGGAUCAAGUUGAGGAAAAAUUAGCCCUAAAGCCCGAGAAGUUACGCUCCACACGACACGUCUUGAGCGAGUAUGGUAACAUGUCAAGUGCUUGCGUGUUGUUUAUUUUGGACGAGAUGAGGAGGAAGUCGGCUGAGGAAGGGCUGAAGACCACGGGUGAGGGGCUGGAAU